UACGUAGGGACCGAGCGUUGUCCGGAAUCAUUGGGCGUAAAGAGCGUGUAGGCGGCCACUUAAGUCCUGCGUGAAAUCUUGCGGCUCAACCGCAAGCGGUCGUGGGAAACUGGGUGGCUAGAGUGCGGGAGAGGAGAGUGGAAUUCCCGGUGUAGCGGUGAAAUGCGCAGAUAUCGGGAAGAACACCCGUGGCGAAGGCGGUUCUCUGGGCAGUAACUGACGCUGAGGAGCGAAAGCGUGGGGAGCGAACAGG
rnacentral:rRNA from 1 species